rnacentral:lncRNA from 1 species
CAGGGCUACAGUGAUCUGUCCCUCCGGAUGCCCGAGCCGCUGCCCUGUACUGGGACAUGCUGCAGGCUGCACAGGCCGCCUCUGCUGGACUGCUAGGGAAAGGGUGCGGAGGAGUCACGGGAAGGUUGAGAAAAGGCAAGGGAAUUACAGGGCCAAAGAGGAGUUGUGGUCGGCUCCUGUGUGCCUCUGUGUGCUUUCCAAAUGGUGACAGUGAACCCGUGUUGCAUAAGGUAAUGGAAAGAACGUCAUCCACCAGGCACCCUGGUGGUAAAUGAAGUACAUUGUUUGGGUUUGAAAGAAAGAACUCUAAGUGAGUUGUGGUGGGACCCUAGGGAUGGGCUCAGGUGACAAAAGGUGUUGCUAAAAUGCCUUCCAAGAAAGCUGGGCCCUGUUAACAGGAGGCCCCUGGCUGCAGGGGGGAAAAAAAAUCAGGGAUUAGUCUUGGUUGACAAGACAGUUGCUCAACUCAGAAUUGGCUGGGGAGCAUUUACUACACCCCGUGCCCAGCACCUUCACACCAGACCAUUUGGUUCCAAAUCUUGGGAAGUGGGGAAGCAAGAGGGCACCAAAGGUUUCUAAGUGUCCUCAGAUGACUCCAGCAUGCCAACAUGCUGCUGGUAAGUGGAGCCGAACUGAUCUCUUGUCAAACCAGAGGGGAGGGGAAGAGAGAAGUUGUGGGUGGUGAUGGUGGAGAGGGAAGGGCGAUAGGAAGUCCUCUGGGAAUGUGUUGGACAGAAGGAACUUCAGAGAAAACAUUUUUUUUUUUUUAAAGGAAACUUUCAAACUUACAGAAGAGUGGAGAGACUCGCACAAAGAUGCCAUUACCCGUUACCAGCCUCAUCAGUCAGCAAUGUGGAGUCCCCUCCUGAAUGAGGGGGCUUGAGGUAGGUGCCAUAGGGAGGCGAUGUGUCCCUGGCUUCCCUGGGAACCCCCUGUAAAGCCCACACGGCUGGCUCACCAGUGAUUCCGUGACCGCAGAUCCUUGGCUGGAAUACACAGCACCAGCGCCGAGCUCUCAGGGUAAAAUGUAAUCUGACAGGAAGGAGAGCCAACAGCUGCGGCACGGGACUUUUGUAUUAAAGGCAGAAAAUAAAGUUAUAUAUAAAAAGAGAUCACCA